GGGUUGUGAGGUUAAGCGACUAAGCGUACACGGUGGAUGCCCUGGCAGUCAGAGGCGAUGAAGGACGUGCUAAUCUGCGAAAAGCGUCGGUAAGGUGAUAUGAACCGUUAUAACCGGCGAUGUCCGAAUGGGGAAACCCAGUGUGAUUCGUCACACUAUCGUUAACUGAAUACAUAGGUUAACGAGGCGAACCGGGGGAACUGAAACAUCUAAGUACCCCGAGGAAAAGAAAUCAACCGAGAUUCCCCCAGUAGCGGCGAGCGAACGGGGAGCAGCCCAGAGUCUGAAUCAGCUUGUGUGUUAGUGGAACGGUCUGGAAAGCGUCGGUAAGGUGAUAUGAACCGUUACAGCCGGCGAUGUCCGAAUGGGGAAACCCAGUGCAAUUCGUUGCACUAUCGUUAACUGAAUACAUAGGUUAACGAGGCGAACCGGGGGAACUGAAACAUCUAAGUACCCCGAGGAAAAGAAAUCAACCGAGAUUCCCCCAGUAGCGGCGAGCGAACGGGGAGCAGCCCAGAGUCUGAAUCAGCUUGUGUGUUAGUGGAACGGUCUGGAAAGUCCGACGGUACAGGGUGAUAGUCCCGUACACCAAAAUGCACAGGUUGUGAACUCGAAGAGUAGGGCGGGACACGUGGUAUCCUGUCUGAAUA
rnacentral:rRNA from 1 species